CAGCAGUAGCCACGGUAAUACGAAGGGGGCUAGCGUUGUUCGGAAUUACUGGGCGUAAAGCGCACGUAGGCGGCUUGGUAAGUUAGAGGUGAAAGCCUGGAGCUCAACUCCAGAAUUGCCUUUAAGACUGCCGAGCUAGCAGGUGAGAGAGGUAAGUGGAAUUCCGAGUGUAGAGGUGAAAUUCGUAGAUAUUCGGAAGAACACCAGUGGCGAAGGCGGCUUACUGGCUCAUACUGGACGCUGAGGUGCGAAAGCGUGGGGAGCAAACAGGAUUAGAUACCCCAGUAGUCCCUGUCUCUUAUAC
rnacentral:rRNA from 1 species